rnacentral:rRNA from 1 species
CUUUAAUUCUGCACGCCCCCCAUCUGUUAAUAACAACUAGCUGAGACGUAAAGCGUGGGGCGGGCGGUUUCAUAAAGAGAGAUGUGACAAGCGCCGGCCUCAACAUGGCAAUUGCAUUUCGAACUGCCGAAGUAGAGUAUUGUAGAGGUGGGUAGACUCCCAGGUGUAGCGGUGAAAUGCGUAGAGAUCUGGAGGACUACCGGUGGAGAAGGCGGCUCUCUCCACAAAGACUGACGCUCAGGCACGAAAGCGUGCGGAGCAAACAGGAUUAGAUACCCUGGUAGUCCACGCCGUAAACGAUGUCUACUCGGAGUUUGGUGUCUUGAACACUGGGCUCUCAAGCUAACGCAUUAAGUAGACCGCCUGGGGAGUACGGCCGCAAGGUUAAAACUCAAAUGAAUUGACGGGGGCCCGCACAAGCGGUGGAGCAUGUGGUUUAAUUCGAUGCAACGCGAAGAACCUUACCUACUCUUGACAUCCACAGAAUUCGCUAGAGAUAGCUUAGUGCCUUCGGGAACUGUGAGACAGGUGCUGCAUGGCUGUCGUCAGCUCGUGUUGUGAAAUGUUGGGUUAAGUCCCGCAACGAGCGCAACCCCUAUCCUUAUUUGCCAGCACGUAAUGGUGGGAACUCUAGGGAGACUGCCGGUGAUAAACCGGAGGAAGGUGGGGACGACGUCAAGUCAUCAUGGCCCUUACGAGUAGGGCUACACACGUGCUACAAUGGCGAGUACAGAGGGUUGCAAAGCCGCGAGGUGGAGCUAAUCUCACAAAGCUCGUCGUAGUCCGGAUUGGAGUCUGCAACUCGACUCCAUGAAGUCGGAAUCGCUAGUAAUCGUGGAUCAGAAUGCCACGGUGAAUACGUUCCCGGGCCUUGUACACACCGCCCGUCACACCAUGGGAGUGGGCUGCAAAAGAAGUGGGUAGCUUAACCUUCGGGGGGGCGCUCACCACUUGUGUUCAGUGG